rnacentral:rRNA from 1 species
UAGGGAAUAUUGGACAAUGGGCGAAAGCCUGAUCCAGCAACGCCGCGUGCACGAUGACGGUCUUCGGAUUGUAAAGUGCUUUUAAGGGAGAUGAGAAAGGACAGUAUCCCUUGAAUAAGCCUCGGCGAACUACGUGCCAGCAGCCGCGGUAAAACGUAGGAGGCGAGCGUUAUCCGGAUUUAUUGGGCGUAAAGCGCGUGCAGGCUGCUUGGAAAGUUGGAUGUGAAAUCUCCUGGCUUAACUGGGAGGGGUCGUUCAAAACUACCAAGCUAGAGAAUGGGAGAGGGAAGUGGAAUUCCGGGUGUAGUGGUGAAAUGCGUAGAUAUCCGGAGGAACACCAGUGGCGAAAGCGGCUUCCUAGACCAUUUCUGACGCUCAGACGCGAAAGCUAGGGGAGCGAACGG